rnacentral:rRNA from 1 species
GACGAACGCUGGCGGCGUGCCUAAUACAUGCAAGUAGAACGCUGAAGGAGGAGCUUGCUUCUCUGGAUGAGUUGCGAACGGGUGAGUAACGCGUAGGUAACCUGCCUGGUAGCGGGGGAUAACUAUUGGAAACGAUAGCUAAUACCGCAUAAGAGUAGAUGUUGCAUGACAUUUGCUUAAAAGGUGCAAUUGCAUCACUACCAGAUGGACCUGCGUUGUAUUAGCUAGUUGGUGGGGUAACGGCUUACCAAGGCGACGAUACAUAGCCGACCUGCGAGGGGGAUCGGCCGCACUGGGACUGAGACACGGCCCAGACUCCUACGGGAGGCAGCAGUAGGGAAUCUUCGGCAAUGGACGGAAGUCUGACCGAGCAACGCCGCGUGAGUGAAGAAGGUUGUCGGAUCGUAAAGCUCUGUUGUAAGAGAAGAACGAGUGUGAGAGUGGAAAGUUCACACUGUGACGGUAUCUUACCAGAAAGGGACGGCUAACUACGUG